rnacentral:rRNA from 1 species
UACGGGGGGGGCAAGCGUUGUUCGGAAUUACUGGGCGUAAAGGGCUCGUAGGCGGCCAACUAAGUCAGACGUGAAAUCCCUCGGCUUAACCGAGGAACUGCGUCUGAUACUGGAUGGCUUGAAUUCGGGAGAGGGAUGCGGAAUUCCUGGUGUAGCGGUGAAAUGCGCAGAUAUCAGGAGGAACACCAAUGGCGAAGGCAGCUCGCUGGAACGGAACUGACGCUGAGGCGCGAAAGCGUGGGGAGCGAACAGG